UGUGUUUUUGGAAAGUCCUUUGCUCUUUGAGACAAUACAAAGGUCACUUGCCUUGUUGGAAAAAAGAAUAUCUGUGCAUCUCCGGAGAAUGAAGCAGGAGAGACCUUCCUCUGAUACCCAGACUGUCUUCUUCAGCAUAACAAGGCUCUGCUUUGGAUUUCCCACCUACUGAAGUACAGCAGGAUGUGUAAGAGCCAUGGCAUCCCAACCUUGAGGAAGUCUCCCAUACAGAAAAACAUAUUGUGUAACAAGAGCUCAGAAGAUUCAGAGUAAUUCUAAGAAGGUAAGAGAAACCCAGAUGGAUCAGACCAAAAGCCUGUGUUGUUCAGCACCCCAGAAACCAUCCGGAGCACAAGUAGAACAUCAAAGCAGAACCACUCCACUUCCCAUGAUCCCCAAUCACUGAUAUUUGGAUUUAUACUGCUUCUGAGGAUAAUUCUGAAGGUCCCCAGAAAUGCCUUAGUUGAUUUUUUAAUGUGACUAAA